ensembl:lincRNA
UAAAGUCACUGUAUUUGUUUUUUGACAUCAUAUUCAUUUCCAUGACAACAGUUCCAAGUUCCAAACACAGAAACAUCUUGCUCUAGAAGUGGAAGAGGCAUGGGGCCUACAGAGAAUUACAUAACAAUGUCAAAAUUGUUUAAAGGGGACAAGAAUCUCCAAAGGUUAAAAGGAAAACAUACUGGCACUGCCCAAAGAGGACAGCCCUGUCAUUGGUAGUACGUGGACAUCACCGAGUGACACGCAGCAUCUCCUUCAUGUGUGAUGGGCAUGGGGGCCAGAGCUAGGCUGCAAAUUCUCCUCUGAAAGACCAUUGUGUCAAAAGAGCAGGAGAAAAUCAAGGAUUUUGCCCUAAUGGCAUUGGAACAAAGUCAGGGCUGAGGCAGGCCGACAGAGAGGGAGGCUUCCAGCCCCGUGGCAGCCCUGCUGACAGCUUGUUAGGAACCGUCCCUCUCCAGCUCCUGUUUCAUUUCUUCAAGUUACAAAGCCUGACAGAGUUUGAUGAAAAAACCAAGGCGGUAAUGUCCCCCGCGGCAGCCGAGGCCCUGCUCAUCCAUCUUUGUUUGACAGAUACAGAGAGUAGAUGUCACCUACAAAACAUUUCACUCACCUGAACCAAGUGUGCUAGGAUGGCCCUGUCGCCUUCAAAGGACCCAACAGGAAGAAUCCAGACCAAGGCUCGUCUACGAUAAUUGAGAUUUCUCGCAAAAGAAAAUCAUUUUUAGCAAGACAGUUCCUGCAAACCAAAUGCUCAUUCAAGUUCUCCUCAGAAAAGUACAUAUAAUGCCUAAUAAUUCAAAGAAAGUUAUACUUUGAUUUACAAACAUCUCUUCCAGGCUACAUCCUCCAGCUGGUCUUUGAGGGCUGGCGACUAUUUAAGUUCUGAGAAGUCAGUGUGAAGUUCCACAAAGAGGGCCUGGGACUCUAAUUUUGCUGGAUUUUCAGGAAGGGGAGUGUAAUGAAACAAAAAUGCCUCUGCACUCCAGACAGCAGAGGCUGGGAUGCAUUGGUAUCCCAAGGUCUCCUCAACUCAGCCUCUGUUAGUGGUUCUCCAACCUUUACAUACCUCAGAAAAAUCUGUGAAGCAGAUUUUUUAAAUGAUGUUUAAAAAGAUGUUUAAAAUACAGAUCCUGAUUCAGAAGAUCUGGAGCAGGGCCAAGGAAUAGACAUUUUUAACAAACUCUCUAGGUGAAUCUAGCUGCAGGUAAUCCUGGGGCCCCUUUGAGAAGCAAUGCUACUACCUGCAGCUGCCCAGGGCAGCACCUCCAGCCAGGGUUCCUAACAGCAUCCUCAAGCAGCACCUCUUGGGGACAGCUCCCCUCCCCACUGGCUGCCAAGCCCAGACUUGGGUUCUCAGCAGCUGCUCCUGUUAAAGGUAGAGCCAGUUCAUCUUCAGGGUUCUUCUGGAGAUAACAACAGUCCCCAGAGACCACUCCCUGAAGCAGAGGCAUCUCCCAGAGACCAUCCAGUGCCAGCUUCUCGGAUGCCCAUCUGGAAGGCAACUCCCAAUAAAGUCCCUGCUGAGCCCGAUGCUGCCACAUGACUUUGUCAUAGUAUCUGCUGAUUUUAGCCAAUUUGAAACCAGAGUUCAACUCUUAACCAUUGUAUCACCUUACUCAUAUUCAUAAUAACAGUAAUUCAUACAACAAUUAUUAUGGGACUAUUAAGUGCUAGUAUUAGGGGUUAUGCUGUAAGCAUACAGCGGCAAACAAGACAAAUACAGUUGGUCUUCCCAAUCUGCAGCUUCCCCAUCCAUGAAUUCAAUCAAAUGCUGAUUGAAAAUAUCUG